CCCCUCUCCUCGGGCAGAGGCGGGCGUGCGUGCGUCGGAGGCCCGGCUCGUACCUGUGCCUCGCGCCCCCGCCAGCCCGCCGGGUCAGGGCCCGUGGUGGGGAGCGCGCGCCGGCUGCUGCCAAUGUUUAGCCGCAGGGGAGGCGGGCCUCAGAAACGUCGGCUGAGAAAACAAAUCAGGUCGGAUCACUUUUUUUUUCCGCUUCACGCAGUAGUGAGUUGGCCGUUGUGUCGGGAAUCCAGGGGGACCCCAUUCCCGAGGAGAUCUAUGAGCUGCUCAGCCACCCCUCGCUCCGAUCCAUCAGUGACCUCCAGCACCUGCUGCGGAUAGACUCCGUAGAGGAGGAUGUGGCCGAACUGGACCUGAACCUGACUCAGGCGCGUUUCCCCAGUGAGCCGGCCAGCCUGUCUCGCGGAAGGAGGAGCGUGGCGGCCGUGACUGUGGCCGAGCCAGCCAUGAUCGCCGAGUGCAAGACGCGGACGGAGGUGUUCGAGAUCUCCCGGCGCCUCAUUGACCGCACCAACGCCAAUUUCCUGGUGUGGCCGCCCUGCGUGGAGGUGCAGAGGUGCUCGGGCUGCUGCAACAACCGCAACGUGCAGUGCCGCGCCACGCAGGUGCAGCUCAGACAUGUACAGGUCAGGAAGAUAGAAAUUGUGCGGAAGAAGCCAACCUUUAAGAAGGUGACGGUGACCUUGGAGGAUCACUUGGCCUGCAAGUGCGAGACCAUAGCAACCCCCCGGUCCUUGCCCCGGAGCCCCCCGAGCAUCCAGGGAAACAGAGGUGGGUCCACCCCAAACAAAGUGACAGUGAGGAGGGUACGCAUCCGACGGCCGCCCAAGGGGAAGCACCGAAAGUUCAAGCACACCCAUGACAAGACAGCCCUGAAGGAGAGUCUUGGAGCAUAGGGGCACCCGCCAGAGAGAGCAUGAUGGGCAGGUUUAUUUAAUGUAGUUCUCGUAUUGCCCCCAUGGGGUUCUUGGAGUGAGAAUAUUGUUCUUCUUGUCUGUCCGUCUCGAUGGCCGACGCGGAUGACAAAUGGUGCUUCCCCUGCCCCACGGCCUUGCAGUGGAUCUUCCAUCCCCCCCAGCUCAGCAGCACCCUGGCCCUCUGUGCCCAGCAGCUCCCGGGGGCUUCCAGAGGCCCCAAUGCCAUCCUUCCCACUGGCAGUGGAGAAGGCCUUUGGCUAGAGGGGCUGCUUCUUCCAGAAGGCCCUGCUGGGGUGAGAGGUGGGACUGUGGACUCAGAGGACUCCAAGCGUUGGCCCAACAAGCCGGAUUUUGCCCUAGGACUCGUAGCAUCGGCCCAGAGCCUGAGUGUCCCUGACCCUGGACUGGUGGGGCUGCCCGCAGGAACCUUCUUCCCCUGGCCAGCACCCACGGAGCACGGAGCUGGACCCGGCAGUCCCUGUCCCCUCCUGCCCAUCCCCUGCUUGAUUAUUUCACUUUUUAUGCACAUAAUUUGGAAACUGGUUUCUUCUGAAGCGGGUUUUGCCACGGGAGAGCAGCCUGUGGCCUGUGGUGCUGACGGGAGGCUCACCCCCUGCUCCUGGCACGUGGGUGGGCUGUAGAGGGAAGAAGGGCUCAAUCCUGUCUCUCACCACUCCCUCCUUCCAUUUCUCUGCCCUCCUCAUCCUACAUCAUGGUUGGCCCCAACCUCAAUGGAACACCUCCAGCCCUGGAGAGGCAGGAGUGGGAGCGAAGGAGGGAGGAGGGAGGAGAGUGGGAAGAUCCCCUAGUCCACCCCCACCCCUGGCCUCAUCCCAGCCCCUCUCUAGGUCUCAUUUUCCCCAUCUGUAAAAUGAGAGACUUGGACUACAUUACUUCUGAGGUUCCAUCCAACUCUAAAAAAUCCGUCCCUGAGCAUCUUGGGAGACAGAAUGCCCCAUGUGACCCCAUAUGUAGCUUCCAGAGGCUGCUGAGUCUUUGAGGAAGCCCCGCCCCCCAAACCUCCCAAGGCCUGAUCCCGGGGUCUCCUGGGGGAAGGACUGGGUGGGGAUGACUGAAGGGAGGGGCAGGCUUGCCUUCCCAUCUAUCCCACGUUCUGCAGCUUUCUCUUACUCAGAAACCCGCUUCCUUCAGUUUGUAAAGUUGGUGAUUAUAUUUUUUUUGGCUUUUCUUUUAUUUUUUAAAUGUAAAAUUAAUUUAUAUUCUGUAUUUAAAAUUGUAAAAAAAAAAAUCAAACCAUAUGACACAAGGACAAAUGAAC
ensembl:lncRNA